rnacentral:misc_RNA from 1 species
CGAUGAAAACCUUUUUUCUUGAGGUGUGGCUCGCACCUGUCUAACUAAAUCGAGCUACCACAUUUUAACACGGUUGCAUCGGUUGGCUGUCAAACAGUGCGCGCGGCGAUUUAUUUCGCCCUGCGCUACUGCGAGACGGUCGACAUUUACCAAAAACACUGUUGAUACCAUAGGAUUUGAACGUAGAUGAAACUCGACUGGUAAUGCGGUCGUCUAAAAUCUAAAAA